UUACUUGUUGCUUUUCAUCUGCCCCAAAGUCAUGUACCAGAAAAAAUAACACAUUCUUUCCAUAUACUAGGCCCAGUCUUUGACCGCAUGAUUGAACGAGUCAAGCUUCCCAAAUAAAGGCAUGAUGCUGGAAGUGCUUAACCCCAACUCAAAGAGUGCCUCAGCAGAAACCCCAUACUGGGACCAGUGAACAUUGGGAUUUCCUAAGGUUGUCUAAGGGGAGAUAUACAAAUGCAGAUUUUCACAUUGAAAGAAGGUUGCAUGCAUAUUCCUGUACAUUCAGAACGUGGAGAAGUUCAAAAUCUGUAAUUGUGACAAACAGUACUAUUUCAAUGUUAUAGACAUCAGCCUAGAAGAGAAGCUUAGAAAGACUUGGGAAAACAAAAAAGUGCUUUUUGGAAUGAUCAAUGUCCAAUACAUUUACACAAAACAUAACAUAAAUAAACAUGUGAUAUAGUCACACACA